rnacentral:tRNA from 1 species
GGAGAGGUGGCUGAGCGGUCGAAAGCGGCGGUCUUGAAAACCGUUGAAGAGCAAUCUUCCCAGGGUUCGAAUCCCUGCCUCUCCGCCA